UAAGGAAUAUUGGACAAUGCCCGAAAGGGUGAUCCAGCUAUCCCGCGUGCAGGAUGAAGGCCCUCUGGGUUGUAAACUGCUUUUAUAAAGGAAGAAACGUACUGAUUUAUUGGUAUUUGACGGUACUUUAUGAAUAAGCACCGGCUAACUCCGUGCCAGCAGCCGCGGUAAUACGGAGGGUGCAAGCGUUAUCCGGAAUCACUGGGUUUAAAGGGUGCGUAGGCGGCUUGAUAAGUCAGGGGUGAAAGCUCACUGCUCAACAGUGGAAUUGCCUUUGAUACUGUCAGGCUAGAAUCGGCACGAGGCAGGCGGAAUGUGACAUGUAGCGGUGAAAUGCUUAGAUAUGUCAUAGAACACCAAUUGCGAAGGCAGCUUGCCAGAGUCGCAUUGACGCUGAGGCACGAAAGCGUGGGGAGCGAACAGG
rnacentral:rRNA from 1 species